AUUGAACGCUGGCGGCAUGCUUUACACAUGCAAGUCGAACGGUAACAGGGAGCUUGCUCCGCUGACGAGUGGCGAACGGGUGAGUAAUGCGUCGGAACGUGCCGAGUAGUGGGGGAUAACGCAUCGAAAGGUGUGCUAAUACCGCAUACGAACUGAGGUUGAAAGUGGGGGACCUUCGGGCCUCACGCUAUUCGAGCGGCCGACGUCUGAUUAGCUAGUUGGGGAGGUAAAGGCUCACCAAGGCGACGAUCAGUAGCGGGUCUGAGAGGAUGAUCCGCCACACUGGGACUGAGACACGGCCCAGACUCCUACGGGAGGCAGCAGUGGGGAAUUUUGGACAAUGGGCGCAAGCCUGAUCCAGCCAUGCCGCGUGUCUGAAGAAGGCCUUCGGGUUGUAAAGGACUUUUGUCCGGGAGCAAAUGCUGGUGGCUAACAUCCACCGGAGCUGAGAGUACCGGAAGAAUAAGCACCGGCUAACUACGUGCCAGCAGCCGCAGUAAUAC
rnacentral:rRNA from 1 species